rnacentral:rRNA from 1 species
AUGAUUAUGAGGUGUGUGACAUUGGCUAGAUUUUCGGUAAAGCUAAAUGGUGGCCUCUCAAGGAGUUUUCUACCCUCUCGUGGUCUGAGACAGGGCGACCCGUUGUCACCCUACCUCUUUCUGUUCUGCAUGGAGGGGUUUUCAGCGCUCCUUAAGAGGGCUCAUAUGGACAAGAAAAUAAAGGGGGUGAAAUUUGGGAGCACUGGCCCCCAUGUCACCCACCUUUUGUUUGCGGAUGACAGUAUUGUGUUCCUAGAGGGAACAAAGGAGAACAUGGAGACACUCAAACUAAUCCUCUCACAAUAUGAAGAAGCUUCAGGGCAAAAAGUCAAUUUGCAGAAAUCCUCCAUCUUCUUUGGGAGGGGGUGCCAGAAUGACAUGAAGGAGCAAAUGAAACAGACUGUGGGUAUUCAAUCUGAAGCUCUUAGUGAGCGCUAUUUGGGCCUUCCAACACUGGUUGGGAGGUCAAAGGAUGGCACGUUCAAACAUGUCACGGAAUGUUCUAAAGGGAAAGUGUGUGGAUGGAAGGGCCAAGGAUUAUCUAAAGCAGCCAGAGAAGUUCUAAUUAAAUCCAUUCUCCAAGCGACUCAGACUUACACCAUGAGUUGUUUUCACCUCUCGAAGAAGAUGUGCUGGAACCUGACUUCGAUCUCCUCUAAAUUCUGGUGGGGUGCAAUGAAUGGUGAAAGGAAGGUCCACUGGGUAGCAUGGCAGAAGAUGUGCGCGAGCAAGCGUGAUGGUGGCAUGGGCUUCCGAGACCCGGAUGCUUUCAACAAAGCUUUGUUGGCUAAGCAAGCAUGGCGUAUCCUACAAGUGCCAACUUUGUUGUGUGCUAGAGUCCUUAAAGCACGUUAUUUCAUGGAUGGUACAAUACUUUCGGCAACAUGUCCACCGGCUGGCUCAUAUACUUUUAGAAGCAUUUUGCAUGGACGGGAUUUACUUAGGGAAGGACUUAUUUGGAGAGUGGGUUCAGGUGCGAGCAUCAAUAUCCACCAUGAUGCUUGGAUUCCAAGAAGUGGCAGCACAAAACCACUUGGCCAGGUCUACAAACAGGGAGUCACCAAGGUAGCGGACCUCAUGACAGCGAACGAAACAGCCUGUAACGAGGGACUGCUGCAUGAUAUGUUCACACCAGAGGACGCUGUUGAUGUGAAGCAGAUCGCUAUAGGAGGACCGGACACUGAUGGUUACCUAGCGUGGAAUUUUACAAAGAAUGGUAUUUUCUCAGUCAAGUUUGCAUAUCACUUGAGGAUGUUUCUGAACAGAGCGACCUCCGGACAGCCGGAGUCGUCCAGCUGUAAGUAA